GGGUUGUAAACCCCUUUCAGCAGGGACGAAAUUGACGGUACCUGCAGAAGAAGCUCCGGCCAACUACGUGCCAGCAGCCGCGGUAACACGUAGGGAGCGAGCGUUGUCCGGAUUUAUUGGGCGUAAAGGGCUCGUAGGCGGUUUGGUAAGUCAGGUGUGAAAGCUCAGGGCUCAACUCUGAGAAGCCAUCUGAAACUGCCAUGACUAGAGUUCGGUAGAGGAGCGUGGAAUUUCCGGUGUAGCGGUGAAAUGCUCAGAUAUCGGGAGGAACACCAGCAGCGAAGGCGGCGCUCUGGGCCGAAACUGACGCUGAGGAGCGAAAGCGUGGGGAGCAAACAGGAUUAGAUACCCUGGUAG
rnacentral:rRNA from 1 species